AUGGAUGAAGUAUUACUCGCUGGAAGCUUUCCUCCAGAAAAUGAUGCUAAAUCGAUUUCUCAUUAUAGUGUCUCCAGAUACCCUUCAUGUUCUUCUCUAAGUUUUGGGAUGAUGCGAUGCAAUAUUGGUGACCAAUUAGAAUGUUUUAGCCGAGUCGGGGAUGUGUGUCGCUGCUCUUUAGCUGUGUUGCGAAUGAACACAAAGAAUCUGUGGAGUUUCAGGCAUGCUGAAACCUAUCGGCUCCGUUGUAAAGAAUCAAAGUAUAAGGGGGUUGGUCUGGACAGAGGUGCCAUUUCAAUAGUCCGACUGCUCUGA
rnacentral:rRNA from 1 species